rnacentral:rRNA from 1 species
CCAAGUCGAGCGAGCGGAACUAACAGAUUUACUUCGGCAAUGACGUUAGGAAAGCGAGCGGCGGAUGGGUGAGUAACACGUGGGGAACCUGCCCCAUAGUCUGGGAUACCACUUGGAAACAGGUGCUAAUACCGGAUAAGAAAGCAGAUCGCAUGAUCAGCUUUUAAAAGGCGGCGUAAGCUGUCGCUAUGGGAUGGCCCCGCGGUGCAUUAGCUAGUUGGUAAGGUAAAGGCUUACCAAGGCGAUGAUGCAUAGCCGAGUUGAGAGACUGAUCGGCCACAUUGGGACUGAGACACGGCCCAAACUCCUACGGGAGGCAGCAGUAGGGAAUCUUCCACAAUGGACGCAAGUCUGAUGGAGCAACGCCGCGUGAGUGAAGAAGGUUUUCGGAUCGUAAAGCUCUGUUGUUGGUGAAGAAGGAUAGAGGUAGUAACUGGCCUUUAUUUGACGGUAAUCAACCAGAAAGUCACGGCUAACUACGUGCCAGCAGCCGCCGGUAAUACCGUAGGUGGCAACGUCGUUCGUCCCGGUCGACGCGGCCCG